AGUCGAGCGGACCGACGGGAGCUUGCUCCCUUAGGUCAGCGGCGGACGGGUGAGUAACACGUGGGUAACCUGCCUGUAAGACUGGGAUAACUCCGGGAAACCGGGGCUAAUACCGGAUGCUUGAUUGAACCGCAUGGUUCAAUCAUAAAAGGUGGCUUUUAGCUACCACUUGCAGAUGGACCCGCGGCGCAUUAGCUAGUUGGUGAGGUAACGGCUCACCAAGGCGACGAUGCGUAGCCCACCUGAGAGGGUGAUCGGCCACACUGGGACUGAGACACGGCCCAGACUCCUACGGGAGGCAGCAGUAGGGAAUCUUCCGCAAUGGACGAAAGUCUGACGGAGCAACGCCGCGUGAGUGAUGAAGGUUUUCGGAUCGUAAAACUCUGUUGUUAGGGAAGAACAAGUACCGUUCGAAUAGGGCGGUACCUUGACGGUACCUAACCAGAAAGCCACGGCUAACUACGUGCCAGCAGCCGCGGUAAUACGUAGGUGGCAAGCGUUGUCCGGAAUUAUUGGGCGUAAAGCGCGCGCAGGCGGUUUCUUAAGUCUGAUGUGAAAGCCCCCGGCUCAACCGGGGAAGGGUCAUUGGAAACUGGGGAACUUGAGUGCAGAAGAGGAGAGUGGAAUUUCCACGUGUAGCGGUGAAAUGCGUAGAGAUGUGGAGGAACACCAGUGGCGAAGGCGACUCUCUGGUCUGUAACUGACGCUGAGGCGCGAAAGCGUGGGGAGCGAACAGGAUUAGAUACCCUGGUAGUCCACGCCGUAAACGAUGAGUGCUAAGUGUUAGAGGGGUUUCCGGCCCUUUAAGUGCCUGCAGGCAAACGCAUUAAGCACUUCCGCCCUUGGGGAGUACGGUCGCAAGACUGAAACUCAAAGGAAUUGACGGGGGCCCGCACAAGCGGUGGAGCAUGUGGUUUAAUUCGAAGCAACGCGAAGAACCUUACCAGGUCUUGACAUCCUCUGACAACCCUAGAGAUAGGGCUUCCCCUUCGGGGGCAGAGUGACAGGUGGUGCAUGGUUGUCGUCAGCUCGUGUCGUGAGAUGUUGGGUUAAGUCCCGCAACGAGCGCAACCCUUGAUCUUAGUUGCCAGCAUUCAGUUGGGCACUCUAAGGUGACUGCCGGUGACAAACCGGAGGAAGGUGGGGAUGACGUCAAAUCAUCAUGCCCCUUAUGACCUGGGCUACACACGUGCUACAAUGGGCAGAACAAAGGGCAGCGAAGCCGCGAGGCUAAGCCAAUCCCACAAAUCUGUUCUCAGUUCGGAUCGCAGUCUGCAACUCGACUGCGUGAAGCUGGAAUCGCUAGUAAUCGCGGAUCAGCAUGCCGCGGUGAAUACGUUCCCGGGCCUUGUACACACCGCCCGUCACACCACGAGAGUUUGUAACACCCGAAGUCGGUGAGGUAACCUUUUGGAGCCAGCCGCCGAAAGGUGGGACAGAUGAUUGGGGUGAAGUC
rnacentral:rRNA from 1 species